rnacentral:rRNA from 1 species
UACGGAGGAUGCGAGCGUUAUCCGGAUUUAUUGGGUUUAAAGGGUGCGUAGGCGGAUUUUUAAGUCAGCGGUAAAAUGUCCGGGCUCGACCCGGGCCGGCCGUUGAAACUGGGGAUCUUGAGUGGGCGAGAAGUAUGCGGAAUGCGUGGUGUAGCGGUGAAAUGCAUAGAUAUCACGCAGAACUCCGAUUGCGAAGGCAGCAUACCGGCGCCCGACUGACGCUGAGGCACGAAAGCGUGGGGAUCGAACAGG